GCCGGGCACGGAGGCCCCUGCCUGUAGUCCCAGCUACUCGGGAGGCUGAGGCUGGAGGACCAAUUGAGCCCAGGAGUUCUGGGCUGUAGCACGCUGUGCUGAUUGGGUGUCCACACUAAGUUCGGCAUCAAUAUGGUGACCUCUUGAGGGUGGGAGACCACCAGGUGGCCUAAGGAGGGGUGAACCGGGUCAGGUCGGAAAUGGAGAGGGUGAGAAUUCCCAUGCUGAUCAGUAGUGGGAUUGUGCCUGUGAAUAGCCACUGUACUGCAGCCCGGGCAACAUAGUGAGACCCCGUCUCU
rnacentral:SRP_RNA from 1 species